rnacentral:rRNA from 1 species
GAUGAACGCUAGCUACAGGCUUAACACAUGCAAGUCGAGGGGAAACGGCAUUGAGUGCUUGCACUCUUUGGACGUCGACCGGCGCACGGGUGAGUAACGCGUAUCCAACCUUCCCAUUACUGUGGGAUAACCUGCCGAAAGGCAGACUAAUACCGCAUAGUCUUCGAUGACGGCAUCAGAUUUGAAGUAAAGAUUUAUCGGUAAUGGAUGGGGAUGCGUCUGAUUAGUUUGUUGGCGGGGUAACGGCCCACCAAGGCUACGAUCAGUAGGGGUUCUGAGAGGAAGGUCCCCCACAUUGGAACUGAGACACGGUCCAAACUCCUACGGGAGGCAGCAGUGAGGAAUAUUGGUCAAUGGACGGAAGUCUGAACCAGCCAAGUAGCGUGCAGGAUGACGGCCCUAUGGGUUGUAAACUGCUUUUGUAUGGGGAUAAAGUUAGGGACGUGUCCCUAUUUGCAGGUACCAUACGAAUAAGGACCGGCUAAUUCCGUGCCAGCAGCCGCGGUAAUACGGAAGGUCCAGGCGUUAUCCGGAUUUAUUGGGUUUAAAGGGAGCGUAGGCUGGAGAUUAAGUGUGUUGUGAAAUGUAGACGCUCAACGUCUGAAUUGCAGCGCAUACUGGUUUCCUUGAGUACGCACAACGUUGGCGGAAUUCGUCGUGUAGCGGUGAAAUGCUUAGAUAUGACGAAGAACUCCGAUUGCGAAGGCAGCUGACGGGAGCGCAACUGACGCUUAAGCUCGAAGGUGCGGGUAUCAAACAGG